rnacentral:lncRNA from 1 species
AUGGCUGUCAACAGCAGGUGGGCAACCAACCACACAAUAAUAGAGACUGAGAACUGUGAACAUUACAAACUUUUAACAGUGUCUUUUAGACCACGCUACCUCCCACGUGAGUUUACUCAAAUCACUGUCAUCUUGGUCUAUGCACCGGGCCCUGAUUUUAACUUAGCUGCUGACGCCAUAGCAGAUAGUUUUAACAGGGCUAUCAACAGAACCGGAGAUCAGCCAGUAUUUCUUUUGGGAGACUUUAAUAAAUGUGACAUCAUAACAUAUUUACCUAAUCUAGGGCAAUAUGUCACAACAGCCACAAGAGGGAGCAAGAUACUAGACCAGCGUUAUGGCAGCAUCCCAAAUGCAUACAUCUCAAAGUCACGUCCACCUCUUGGUAGAUCAGGCCACAAUGUACUCUUACUAGUACCAAAAUACAGGUCACAACUGAAGACAGGGGAAGUGGUAACAAAAAAUAUCCAAGUUUGGAAUGAGGAUUCGAGUGAAGCAUUAAAGGGCUGUUUUGAAAUGACCGAUUGGGAUGUAUUUUUUAAUGACAGUGGAAACAAUCUGAACACGCUGACAGAUGUAAUGACCUCAUAUAUUCUCUUUUGCGAAGAAACAGUCACCACUACCAAGCAAAUAAAAAUACACCCAAACAACAAAAAGUGGAUCACAAAGGAACUUAAAAUGUGCCUGGUGGAGAAGAAACGGGCCUUCCUUCAGAGGGACCAUGAGCGUGUGAGGGUGCUGGAGAAAGACUUUCAGAGGAAAGCCAUCCUUGCAAAAAGGAAACAAACACAGAAUGUGGAGCACCAACUCACAUCUGGAAAUGCUCGUAAGGCAUGGCAGGGCCUGAACAUCAUGAUGGGAAGAGACCCUGAGAUCCCGCAAGUCAACUGCCAUGACUCCAUCUCGUUGGCAGAACAGCUGAACGUCUUUUUUGCCCGCUUCAACGGCGUUCACCCUCUUUCCACCUGCCCACCACCAUCCUGCGCUGCAUCAACCCAUACAAGAGCUCUGGCGCUGAUGGGCUCCAUGGCAGGGAUCUGA